GCUUACGGCCAUACCACUCUGAAAAAGCCUGAUCUCAUCUGACCUCGGAAGCAAAAGCAGAGUUGGGCCGGGUAGUACUUGGUUGGGAGACUGAAUGGGAAUACUAGGUGUAUGCUGUAAGCU
ensembl:rRNA 5S_rRNA 5S ribosomal RNA